rnacentral:misc_RNA from 1 species
UAGAAGCUUUGCUGGCUCUCUGAACCCCCUGUGAACGUGUCCGCUGUUGCCUUGGCUAGGGGCGUGUCCUCCCUGCUGGGAAUGGCCGCUGCCUGCCAGGGGAUAUAAACUCUAGUGGCUUUAGUGGAUUGGAAUGGCAGCUGUAUAAAAAUUA